rnacentral:rRNA from 1 species
CGGACGGGUGAGUAACGCGUGGAAAACCUGCCGUAUACUGGGGGAUAACACUUAGAAAUAGGUGCUAAUACCGCAUAAGCGCACAGCUUCGCAUGGAAGCGGUGUGAAAAACUCUGGUGGUAUACGAUGGUUCCGCGUCUGAUUAGCUAGUUGGUGGGGUAAUGGCCUACCAAGGCAACGAUCAGUAGCCGGCCUGAGAGGGUGAACGGCCACAUUGGGACUGAGACACGGCCCAAACUCCUACGGAAGGCAGCAG